UACGAAGGGGGCGAGCGUUGUUCGGAAUUACUGGGCGUAAAGGGCGCGCAGGCGGCCUUAGAAGUCAGGCGUGAAAGCCCCGGGCUCAACCUGGGAACAGCGCUUGAUACUCUGGGGCUGGAGUACGGGAGAGGAGAGUGGAAUUCCCAGUGUAGAGGUGAAAUUCGUAGAUAUUGGGAAGAACACCGGUGGCGAAGGCGGCUCUCUGGACCGUAACUGACGCUGAGGCGCGAAAGCGUGGGGAGCAAACAGG
rnacentral:rRNA from 1 species